rnacentral:rRNA from 1 species
AACUAAACAGGAUUCCCUUAGUAAUGGCGAAUGAACAGGGAUGAGCUCAGCAUGGAAAUCGGGGUCUCCCGACCUUGAAUUGUAGUCUGUAGAUGUACUGCCAACGGAGGCGCAGAUGUAAGCCUCUUGGAAAAGAGCAUCAACGAGGGUGAGAGUCCCGUUUGUCAUCUGCAGUCCCCCGUGCACGGUGUGCCUUCUAAGAGUCACGUUCCUCGGGAUUGGAGCGCAAAGUGGGUGGUAAAUUUCAUCUAAAGCUAAAUAUUGGUUCGAGACCGAUAGCAAACAAGUACCAUGAGGGAAAGGUGAAAAGGACUUUGAAAAGAGAGUUAAAAGUGCCUGAAAUUGCUGAAAGGGAAGCGAAUGGAACCAGUGUUCUUGAUGAGAUUGUUGCGUACUCUGGUGAUUGCUGGGUGUUCCACCGCAAGGGGGGCAUCUAGUUUUGAGCUAGAUGUGCGUGGUGUUUCUUGUCUUGUGUGUCACCGUCGGUGCACGAGCGAGUAAACCUCCAGGGGGCUGGUAACUCGACCACGGUUGAGUGAAUACCUUUGGCAGUACUCAUUUGUGUAUCGAUCCCUGCGUGUCUGGUUGCAGUGUUUGGGUCGCCUGGAAACUCCUGAAGGGCUUGUCCUCGAAGGAGUCCUUUUGGGCGCCCUGAGCAUCUCCCUGACACAAAGACGAU